rnacentral:rRNA from 1 species
GAUGAACGCUAGCGGCAGGCUUAACACAUGCAAGUCGAGGGGCAGCGGGUGUAGCAAUACAUGCCGGCGACCGGCGAAAGGGUGAGUAACACGUAAACAACCUGCCUAUCAGAGGGGAACAACAGUUAGAAAUGACUGCUAAUACCGCAUAUGCCGUGAGUUACGCAUGUAACAAACGGGAAAGGAGUAAUCCGCUGAUAGAUGGGCUUGCGUCUGAUUAGCUAGUUGGUGUGGUAACGGCAUACCAAGGCGACGAUCAGUAGCCGGACUGAGAGGUUGAACGGCCACAUUGGGACUGAGAUACGGCCCAGACUCC